GUGCUCGCUUUGGCAGUGCAUAUACUACAAUUGGAACAAUCCAGAGAAGGUUAGCAUGCACCUUGCUCAAGGAUGACACGCAAAUUCGGGAAGCAUAUUUUU
ensembl:snRNA U6 U6 spliceosomal RNA